GGGAGCUGCCCACCGUCACAGCUGGGUAUCCUGAAGAGAGUUGCUCUGUGGGAACUGGGACUGUCCAGACAUCUCAUCUGCUGGAUCUGCCUGUUGUAUCUUUAAUUUCUGAGAACCACUGGCCUUGAAAAGGGUUGUUGCAGGCUUUUAUCAGAGUGUGGCACUGGUGGGAAAUUCUUUGUAAGCCCCAUCUGAGCACUGCUGAGGAUCUGCUGAUGGGGAGCUGCAAAAACCAGAGCUGUUGGGAUGUUCUUGUGCACUAGUUCUCUUCAUCCUCUGCAUUCCUCUCCUACCUGUGAAAUCCUCCACUGCCACUGAUUUAACAUAUCUCUGCCAUGUCACCCACAUCCCAAGGGCUGACUGAGAGCAAGACUCACAUCCUGGGAGUUCUGCUGUCCCGGCUGCGUGCCCAGCUCCAGUGGUGCUGCUGCCGACUGCGCGUUCUCCGGGCAGAACUGGGAGCCAAAGAGCAGCUGGGAAUCACUCAGACUUGAGUAGUCACUGGCAGUGCUGCUCCGCAUGGAAAACUUGUUGGGCCUGAAAUGGUACAGAGAGGGAUGUGAAUGAGUCUGGAGCAAUUAAAAAGACAAACAAAAUUCCCUACAUGGCCUGCUGGAAAUGUGACUCCGGAUAACAAUUUCUGUUGUGACUCAGGUGUUGCUUUGAUAAAUUGGAAGGCAGCUCCAAGAGAAUAAACCUUUCUGACUUAUAGUUGACAUUUCUUGGGCAUUUAUUCUCCAAAUGCCUUAAGUCUGACACAGUAGAACAACAAAUAAACAGAGGUAGCAUAUGGCUGGAUGAACUGAUAUGAAUUGUUGGAAGUAUUUCAAACAUUUUAACAUGCUACUCAAAUAUGCUCUUCUUUCCCUUGAGCGUUACUCAAAUAAAUUUUUCCUAGAUACGCUGGA